AAUAAAUAUAAGAGGUCCAGCCUGCCCAGUGACUCUGUUCAACGGCCGCGGUAUCCUAACCGUGCGAAGGUAGCGUAAUCACUUGUUCUUUAAAUAAGGACUAGUAUGAAUGGCACCACGAAGGUUAUACUGUCUCCUCUUUUUAAUCAGUGAAACUAAUCUCCCCGUGAAGAAGCGGGGAUGAAACUAUAAGACGAGAAGACCCUAUGGAGCUUUAAACCACGUAGAACUUGCACCUAUCAAACACAAAUUCCAGAAAAAUAUACCUCAUCCAUGCAAGAUUACUACCAGUUUUAGGUUGGGGUGACCGCGGAGCAAAAAUAAACCUCCACAUUGAAAGGAACCUAUUCCUUAGCCAAGAGCCACACCUCUAUGCAACAUAACAAUGACAUUAAUUGACCCAAUAUUUUGAUCAACGAACCAAGUUACCCUAGGGAUAACAGCGCAAUCCACUUUAAGAGCUCCUAUCGACAAGUGGGUUUACGACCUCGAUGUUGGAUCAGGGUAUCCCGGUGGUGCAGCC
rnacentral:rRNA from 1 species